AGGAGAGUUUGAUCCUGGCUCAGGAUGAACGCUGGCGGCGUGCCUAACACAUGCAAGUCGAGCGAGAAGCUUAUGAAUGAAACUUCGGUCGAAUGAAUAAGUGGAAAGCGGCGGACGGGUGAGUAACGCGUAGACAACCUGCCCUUAGCAGGGGGAUAGCCAUUGGAAACGAUGAUUAAAACCCCAUAAUGCAGAAAACACACAUGUAUAUUCUGCCAAAGAUUUAUCGGCUAAGGAUGGGCCUGCGUCUGAUUAGAUAGUUGGUGAGGUAACGGCCCACCAAGUCUACGAUCAGUAGCCGACCUGAGAGGGUGAUCGGCCACAUUGGAACUGAGACACGGUCCAAACUCCUACGGGAGGCAGCAGUGGGGAAUAUUGCACAAUGGGCGAAAGCCUGAUGCAGCAACGCCGCGUGAAGGAUGAAGGUCUUCGGAUCGUAAACUUCUGUCCUUGGGGAAGAAGAUCUGACGGUACCCAUGGAGGAAGCCCCGGCUAACUACGUGCCAGCAGCCGCGGUAAUACGUAGGGGGCGAGCGUUAUCCGGAAUUAUUGGGCGUAAAGAGUGCGUAGGUGGUUCUUUAAGCGAGAGGUUUAAGGCUAUGGCUUAACCAUAGUUCGCCUCCCGAACUGAAGGACUUGAGUGCAGGAGAGGAAAGCGGAAUUCCUAGUGUAGCGGUGAAAUGCGUAGAUAUUAGGAGGAACACCAGUGGCGAAGGCGGCUUUCUGGACUGAAACUGACACUGAGGCACGAAAGCGUGGGGAGCAAACAGGAUUAGAUACCCUGGUAGUCCCCU
rnacentral:rRNA from 1 species